rnacentral:rRNA from 1 species
CGCGUAGGCGGUUUGUAAGUCGGAUGUGAAAGCCCCGGGCUCAACCUGGGAAUUGCAUUCGAUACUGCUUGACUAGAGUAUGGUAGAGGGAAGUGGAAUUCCAGGUGUAGCGGUGAAAUGCGUAGAUAUCUGGAGGAACAUCAGUGGCGAAGGCGACUUCCUGGACCAAUACUGACGCUGAGGUGCGAAAGCGUGGGGAGCAAACA